CGAUUCAAUGGAUCAUAAGUUUUUGAACGUAAAUACGCUCGGGGCGAAGGGCGCGGGGAGUGCGCGCCGCAGGCGCAGCGUCUCGGCCAGAGACAGACUGCCACACUCGCCAGCCUCGCUUGAAACUUGAACUUGAGCACCCGCGUACCGCUUGAUGCGGCGCGCGUCUUAAUAAAUCGAUCUCGUUGGCGUUUUUUCAUAGUGCGAGUUUAAUAAAACUUUAAUGAAACCUCACAGUUAAUCAAACUUAAGUGUCUAGCCUACAUUUCAUCCCGUAACUGGGAAUUACGGCCGGGCUCAGUUUGAGCUAGGACUUAUUGUGGACCGUUCCGGAGGGGACAGAGAAGUGGACAUCACGGCGUCCCACGGGGACCGCAGGAGGCCGCACAGGGGAGUCUGGCACAAGUGUUACGUGGAACCGAUCUUUUUACAACCUACCCACCUGUACCUUAAAAUCAAAUAUUUUUAAACUUAGAUUAAUAAAUUUUGUAAACUUA